rnacentral:lncRNA from 1 species
GCUUUCCACCCUCAGACAGACGGGCAGAGCGAGAGGACGAUUCAGACUCUCGAGGAUAUGCUUAGGGCAUGUGUUCUUGAUCUUGGUGGCAGUUGGGAUACGUAUCUUCCGUUGGCGGAAUUUUCGUAUAACAACAGUUAUCAUGCGAGCAUUGAUCGACCUCCUUUUGAGAUGCUGUACGGGAGGAAGUGUAGGACCCCGAUUUGUUGGGGCGAGGUCGGUCAGCAAGUCAUUGGGAGCACAGAGGUGGUGCUCAAGACGACCGAGUUGAUCCAGCAGGUCCGUAGUAGACUGCAGACUGCUUAGAGUCGGCAGAAAAGUUACGCCGAUAGGAGGCGUUCGGACUUGGAGUUCCAGGCGGGGGAUAUGGUCCUUCUGAAGGUCUCACCUUGGAAGGGUGUCAUCAGGUUCCGGAAGAGGGGCAAGUUGGGCCCCAGAUUUAUUGGUCCUUUCAAGGUUUUGGCCCGGGUGGGUCGGGUUGCUUAUCGGUUAGAUCUUCCUGAGGAGCUUAGUCAGAUCCACAACACUUUCCAUGUGUCUCAGUUGAGGAAGUGUUUGGUGGAUGAGUCAGCAGUCGUUCCCCUAGAGGAUAUUCAGGUUGAUAGUAGCCUGAAUUAUAUUGAGAGGCCGGUCGCGAUUCUGGACCGGAAGACCAAGACCUUGAGGAACAAGGUAAUUCAGUUAGUGAAGGUGCAGUGGCAGCACCGGAAGGGGUCUGAGUGGACGUGGGAGGCUGAGGAGGAGAUGAGGGAGCACUACCCAGAGAUAUUUGCAGAUUCAGCCGUAGCAGACUUCGAGGACGAAGUCUGAGAUAAGUGGGGGAGAAUUGUAACGACCCGUCUCCGGUAUGAUAAUUCCUUGGUAUUUAUUUUGAAGUUUUGCAAGAGGGACUCGGCGAGUUCAUAGCCUGACUCGCCGAGUAGGGUCGGGAUUUCGAGCACGUGAUUAGCUGGCGACUCGGCGAGUCCAUAUUCUGGACUCGGCGAGUCUGUCCGUCUGGGAGAAACCCUAAAUCCCCGGGUUGCCCACUAUUUAAGCCACCUUAUAGCCCCCAAUCUCGCCUCCUUCACCCUCUAAAGCUGUGAGAAAACCCUAAUUCGUUCUUGAGUGAUUCUAAGUGAUUUUGUGUGCUAAUUGUGAAGGCUUGAAGAAGGAGAAGAAGAAAGGAGCAAGGAGAAGGAUUGUAGAGCAGAGAUUCAAGGGAAAGCAAGAGCUCUUUGAGGUAUUCUUCAGAUUUCCUUCCCUUUUAUGCUUUAAAACCCUUUCUAGAUCUUGUUUAUGCUUUUCUCAAGCCUUAUGUUGAUAUGGAAGCCCUAUUAUGCCGAGAUAUCUUUAGAUCUGUUCAUUUAGGAGUUGUAGAGCCCAGAUCUAUUGCCUUUAUGGAGCUAUUUUGCAUAUUAACCCUAGAUCUACCCCUUUUAAGCAUCUUUUAGCCUUUAUUCCCUUGUUCAUGUGUUUGUACACGUAAAGUUGGAAACUUUACGUGGUAAAUCAGCUUAUUGGACUCAGAUCUAUCAUUUGUAUGUAUUGGAUUCGAGCAGAAUCGAGUGUAGAAUAGUUGCAUGGCGGUGACUCGGCGAGUCGGAAGAACGACUCGGCGAGUCGAGUCGCGAGUCCCCGAUUUCUUCCUUUUGAGCGGUGUCGAGUGGGACCAGUGAGUAGUGGAGUGGACUCAGCGAGUUUGAGGGUAGACUCAGUAAUGGAGGGACUCGGCGAGUUGUUCAUACAACUCGGCGAGUCCAAGGCAAUCUUCUUAAGCUCAAGAACAACUCGUCGAGUUGUUCAUAUGACUCGGCGAGUCGGAUGAAGAUUGUCUGAGUUCUUGGAUCGAAUGAGUACUCGUCGAGUCGAUGCCAUACUCGACGAGUAGCAGCGAGUAGGGUCGAGGAGUGAGAAUAGGGACUCGGCGAGUUGGCGGCCCAACUCGGCGAGUCAGGUCAACUGUGGGUUGACUUUGACCGAGAGUUGACUUUGACCAAGGGUAAAAGAGUCAUUUUACCCAGUGCAGUGUUUAGUAUUUGAUUGAGUGUGUUUAUGGACUUGUAGCCGGGGAGAUACCGGAGCAGCAGCAGUUAGCCCUCAGAGCUAUUCACUCAGCAGCCAGUUCACGAGGUGAGUUUCCUUUCAGUAGGAACGGGUCUAAGGCCACAAUGCCGGCCCGUUUAGCUAGCAGUAGUAUCCGGAUUUUUAUCCGAUGCAGUAGUUAGCAUGUUUGAUGCCUUCGUGGCUCAGACAGGAUUAUGUGUGUUCAUGUUAAGUGAUACGUUUAUGUUAUGAUCAGUCAGCUUCGGACUUCGGUCCGAUGUCAGCUUCGGACUUCGGUUCGAUGUAGGGGACAAGGUCCCAGUCAGCUUCGGACUUCGGUCCGAUGUCAGCUUCGGACUUCGGUUCGAUGUAGGGGACAAGGUCCCAGUCAGCUUCGGACUUCGGUCCGAUGUCAGCUUCGGACUUCGGUUCGAUGUAGGGGACAAGGUCCCAGUCAGCUUCGGACUUCGGUCCGAUGUCAGCUUCGGACUUCGGUCCGAUGUAGGGGACAAGGUCCCAGUCAGUCAGCUUCGGACUUCGGUCCGAUGGAGGGGGCAAGGCCCCGUAUGUGCUUGAUAUAUUAUUGUAUGGUAUGUGGUAAUUUGGGGGAGCUCACUAAGCUUCGUGCUUACAGUUUCAGUUUUGGUUUCAGGUACUUCCGCUAGCAGAGGGAAGAGCUCGGGAUGAUGGCAUCGCACACACCACAGCUUCAGCUUUUAUCCUGGGAGUUGAUUUAGUUCUUGAUUUUUAUAUGACAUGGAUAUGAUACAGUUUUCCGCACAGUGUUUUAUUAUUAUUUUGAGAUACAUCAUGUAUGGUUUUAUGAUAUGACACUCAGAUUAUGGUUUUUGGUUAUGUUGAAAAACGAAAUUUUUGGGUCGUAUUUUUGGGUCGUUUCAAGUUGGUAUCAGAGCCCUGGUUUGAGGGAUUCGGAUACACUUCCGGGUGUAUCUGAACUCAAACUAAGGGGAAAUAAAAAGAUUUUUAAAAGGAAAAUGUUUUCUAAAAGAAUUUUGAAAGCACUUAGAAAGAAAGAAAUUUUUAAACAAGAUAAGGGUGUGGUGCAUGCGAUCAGCCGAGCUCAAGUAAGUACUCCCAAAUUACCCAUACAAGUUAUUUGUUCAGUUUCAGUUUCAGUAGAACAGCAUGCUAGUAUAGGACUAAGGAUCUAGGAGGAUGCCUUAUGUGCCUGCUUUAUGUGUUACAGCUUUAUGAGUAUUGCAUGCUAGUAUUGAGUAGACAGCAGUAGGAUAGCCUGUUUAGGUUAUGCCUGAUAGUAUGAGCUUAGCAUUGUAUGCUAGUACAGUUUCUCGUUAUGAGAAUAGUUUUGCCUGAGUAUGUUUCCUUUAUCCGAAUGCUGCUUGCUUCGUGCUUUGUGGGAGUUCUGAGUGAUGGAAGUUAGCCAUUAGGUGAACACGUUACACCACAUGUGAUCAGGGUUGAAUAAUCCCAGAGUGCUGGAACUGGCCCUAUUGCGCAGCUCUUGUUUGAGUCCAACCGUUAUAGGGACGGGUCUUUUACUUGAAGGAUUAUCUGAUCUUCGUCACAUGUGAUGGUGUUCAGGUGGUGGUUAAUUAGCAUUAUAAGGAGACCUGCAGCAGCUGAGGACUAGUUGAGUUGAGUCUGAGGUUUCCCUGGGGCAAGCCUAGGAUGAGAGUAGCAGAGAUCAGUAGUAGUAGAAGUGACUUGGUGGAGUCAAGGCAGUUCUUGAAGAAAGUACGGAUAGAUGUGGAAGGUAGUAUGGGCCCGUACUACUGAAAGCAGAGGAUCCGUACUCGAAUCAAGAAAGGCUGAGACAAGACCAGGAAGCUAGUUGUAGUAUCAAUGAUCCAUUUAGAUAUUUCCGUGUUCUGAUAUAGUUGUGAUGUGUUUCAGAAUGGUGGUUUUGCGUUCGAGACCAGCAGUCGGCAACGGAGGUGCCGGGGAGGGAUCAGGUUCAGGCUCGGGAGAUGAGCGCAUGGAUCAGCAGACCCGAGAGUUUCUUUCUUCGGAGAUUACGCGCAUCAUUAUAGAGCAGACUCCUGUGAUCUUCGGUUCGAUCAAGGAGGGGAUUCUAGAGUUGAUGGAUGAGAGAUUGGGCACCAUCCGUGCCGAGAUGGCGGCCAUGAUUGGGUCGCGCACCCUUACUUUCAGGGAGUUCAGGGCAUGUGGAGCUCCGGAUUAUCAUGGGGCACGGGAUCCCAUAGCGAGUACCAGAUGGUUAGCGGAUGUGGCCAACGCUUUCCGCACUAGCAGAUGUCCCGAGGGGGACAAGGUCAGAUUGGCGUCCUGUCUUCUGAAGGACAGGGCACGUGAUUGGUGGGAGGAGGUCGGGCAUGCCAUUGGGGAUGAUGCAGCAUUGGACGCCAUGACCUGGGCUGAUUUCUCUACCAGGUUCAGGGCGGAGUUUGCACCGGUCAUUGAGGUGCAACAGCUAGCUAGGGAGUUUCAGGACCUCACCCAGACUACAGAGACAGUGGCGGAGAUCACCGCCAAGUUCAGGGAGAGGGCUCUUCUCGUUCCUCAGUAUGUGGCUGAUGAGGAAAUGAAGAAGGCCCGUUAUCAUGAGAUGUUGCGGAGCGAUAUCCGCCAGUUUGUGAGCCGGUCCAGCUGUAAAACGCUGGAAGAUAUGAUUGCUAGAGCUCGGGAGAGGGAGAUUGAUCUUGAGAUGGAGAAGAAGAGGAAACCGGAGGCGGUUUCGGGUUCAGGCGGUUCGGGCAAAAAGCCCAAGGUUUCGGAUCACAGAUCUAGGAGUCAGCAGAGCCACGGUCGAUGUGGCAAGUGUGGGAGAUUGCACGAGGGAGCGUGCAAGGCAGGGAGUUCCGGCUGCUACAAGUGCGGUCGGAUUGGGCAUUUGAGUAGGGAUUGUACGGCCCCUGCUACUGCCGUCGCAGCAUCAGAUCUGAUUUGCUUUCAGUGCAAUCAGAGGGGACAUAAAAAGUCCCAGUGUCCGAGUUUAGCUGCAGCAGGGAAGGUGGCUGCACCUGCCCCUGCUACCUUGAGGAUUACAGAUGGCCGGCAGGGCCGAGCUGAUGCGCCAGUGGCGAAGAGUAGGGCGUUUCAGAUGACAGCAGAGGAGGCGCGAGCGACUCCUGAUGUGGUGACGGGUAUGUAUCUUCCCUUUUAUCUCUUUAUUAUUAUUGAUUAAAUGUUGCUUAUGAUUGUAUGUUUUAUUCAGGGUCGUUCUCUGUGAACGGCAUUUCUGCUUUGGUAUUAUUCGAUUCGGGGGCUACCCGAUCAUUCGUAUCUCUUGCGCUUAGCAAGAGGUUCAGUAGAGCUCCAGGGGAGCUGGAUUGUCCAUUAGAGGUUGAGAUAGCGGAUGAUAGGACCGUGAGGGUCGGCAGAGUGCACAGAGGGUGUUCUCUUCAGUUAUUUGAUGAGCAGUUUUCAGUGGAUUUGGUACCUAUUCCCCUGCGAGGGAAUAAGGUUAUUGUGGGUAUGGAUUGGCUAAGCCCCAAUGGGGCGGUGAUUGAUUGCGAGCUUCAGUUAGUGAGGGUUCGCACUCCCAGUGGGGGAGAGUUGGUGAUUCAGGGCGAGAGGCCACAGCGAGGACCGACCUUUUGUUCCGCCGCAAGGGCGAGGCGCUAUGUUCAGCAGGGUUGCGCCGGUUUUGUAGCUUACGUUUUGGAUGCCCGGGAGAAGGGCAAGUCGACAGUGGAUGAUGUUCCUAUUGUUCGAGACUACCCGGAUGUGUUUCCUGAGGAUUUGCCGGGGAUACCUCCUGAGAGACAGGUCGAGUUCCGGAUCGACCUCGUCCCUGGUGCGGCUCCGAUAGCCAAGGCACCGUAUCGACUAGCUCCCCCUGAGAUGCAGGAGUUGUCUACACAGCUGCAGGAGCUGUUAGACAAGGGUUUCAUUCGGCCAAGCAGUUCGCCUUGGGGAGCGCCAAUCCUGUUUGUGAGAAAGAAGGAUGGGUCGCAUCGUAUGUGUAUUGAUUAUCGGGAGCUGAAUAAGGUAACGGUGAAGAACCGUUACCCACUCCCGAGGAUAGAUGAUUUGUUUGAUCAGCUUCAGGGAGCGUCUUGGUUCUCCAAGAUCGAUCUACGCUCCGGAUAUCAUCAGAUGCGGGUUAGAGAUGAGGAUGUACAGAAGACUGCUUUCAGGACCAGGUAUGGUCAUUACGAGUUUGUGGUGAUGCCAUUUGGGCUCACCAAUGCUCCAGCCGCGUUCAUGGAUCUCAUGAACCGCGUGUGUAGGCCGAUGCUGGAUCGGUCAGUGAUAGUGUUCAUAGAUGACAUCUUGGUAUAUUCCAAGACGCAGGAGCAGCACGAGGAGCACCUGCGGGAGGUGCUAGAGGUUUUGAGGAGGGAGAGACUUUUCGCAAAGUUCUCCAAAUGUGAGUUCUGGUUGCGCGAGGUGCAGUUCCUUGGUCACCUCGUCAACCAGAAGGGUAUUCUGGUAGAUCCGGCCAAGAUAGAGGCCGUGAUGCAGUGGGAGGUCCCGAAGUCUCCAUCUGAGAUUCGGAGCUUCCUAGGGUUGGCAGGGUAUUAUCGGAGAUUUAUUCAGGAUUUCUCCAAGAUAGCAGUGCCGCUCACCCGACUGACCAAGAAGUCAGUGGUAUUUCGUUGGGGUCCGGAGCAGCAGACAGCAUUCGAGACCCUCAGGCAGAGAUUGUGCGAGGCUCCGAUCCUUACCUUGCCAGAGGGAGUAGAGGACUUUGUAGUCUAUUGUGAUGCCUCGAUCACAGGUUUGGGAGCAGUUCUGAUGCAGCGAGGCCAUGUGAUAGCUUAUGCCUCGAGACAGUUGAAGCCUCACGAGGCUAAUUAUCCUACCCAUGAUUUGGAGCUGGGGGCAGUUGUGUUUGCCCUCAAGAUUUGGAGGCAUUACCUUUAUGGGGUCCGUUGUACUAUUUACACGGAUCACAAGAGUUUGAGGUACCUUAUGGAUCAGCCGAGUCUGAACAUGAGGCAGAGGAGGUGGUUGGAUGUGCUAAAGGAUUACGACUGUGAGAUCCUUUACCAUCCAGGGAAGGCCAACGUGGUGGCCGAUGCCCUGAGCCGCAAGGUGUCGGCGGCCCCUAUCAGAGAUCUAUGUUUGAGGAUGACAGUGAUCACUCCGUUGUUGGAGCGGAUCAAGGAGGCUCAGGUGGAGGGUCUCAAGGAGGAAAGACAGAAGUGUGAGAGGAUCGUGGGCCGAGUAGCCUCGUUUGAUUAUGAUAGUCGUGGUUUGCUGACGCUUCACGGGAGAGUGUGGGUACCGUACUGGGGUGGAGUACGGCAAGUGUUGAUGGAUGAGGCUCAUAAGUCUCGGUUUUCUAUCCACCCAGGGGCGACGAAGAUGUAUCGAGAUCUUCGACCUGAUUAUUGGUGGCCCUGCAUGAAGCGGGACGUCGCCUGGUACGUCGAGAGAUGCCUGACCUGCCGGAAGGUCAAGGCGGAGCACCAGAGACCUCACGGCAAGAUGCAGCCGUUGGAUAUUCCCGUGUGGAAAUGGGAGGACAUCACCAUGGAUUUUAUCACCAAACUUCCCAGGACCGCACGUGGAGUAGAUUCGAUAUGGGUAGUGGUGGAUCGGUUGACGAAGAGUGCCCAUUUUAUCCCGAUCCAGGAGAGUAUAUCGGCGGAAAAGUUAGCCGAUAUCUAUGUGCGAGAGAUUGUGGCACGUCAUGGAGUGCCGGUAUCGGUGGUGUCAGACCGAGAUGUCCGUUUCACAUCCAGAUUCUGGAAGCGGUUCCACGACGAGAUGGGUACUCGUCUCCAUUUCAGCACCGCUUUCCACCCUCAGACAGACGGGCAGAGCGAGAGGACGAUUCAGACUCUCGAGGACAUGCUUAGGGCAUGUGUCCUAGAUUUCGGUGGCAGUUGGGAUACGUAUCUUCCGUUAGCGGAAUUCUCGUAUAACAACAGUUAUCAUGCGAGCAUUGAUCGACCUCCCUUUGAGAUGUUGUAUGGGAGGAAGUGUAGGACCCCGAUUUGUUGGGGCGAGGUCGGUCAGCGGGUCAUCGGGAGCACGGAGGUGGUGCUCAAGACGACUGAGUUGAUCCAGCAGGUCCGUAGUAGACUGCAGACUGCUCAGAGUCGGCAGAAGAGCUACGCCGAUAGGAGGCGUUCGGACUUGGAGUUCCAGGUGGGGGAUAUGGUCCUUCUGAAGGUCUCACCUUGGAAGGGUGUCAUCAGGUUCCGGAAGAGGGGCAAGUUGGGCCCCAGAUUUAUUGGUCCUUUCAGGGUUUUGGCCCGGGUGGGUCGGGUUGCUUAUCGGUUAGAUCUUCCUGAGGAGCUUAGUCAGAUCCACAACACUUUCCAUGUGUCUCAGUUGAGGAAGUGUUUGGUGGAUGAGUCAGCAGUCGUUCCCCUAGAGGAUAUUCAGGUUGAUAGCAGCCUGAAUUAUAUUGAGAGACCGGUCGCGAUUCUGGACCGGAAGACCAAGACCUUGAGGAACAAGGAAAUUCAGUUAGUAAAGGUGCGGUGGCAGCACCGGAAAGGGUCUGAGUGGACGUGGGAGGCUGAGGAGGAGAUGAGAGAGCACUACCCAGAGAUAUUUGCAGAUUCAGCCGUAGCAGACUUCGAGGACGAAGUCUGAGAUAAGUGGGGGAGAAUUGUAACGACCCGUCUCCGGUAUGAUAAUUCCUUGGUAUUUAUUUUGAAGUUUUGCAAGAGGGACUCGGCGAGUUCAUAGCCUGACUCGCCGAGUAGGGUCGGGA